UUGAAAUAAACCUGAUGGGUUGUUGCUGGCUCUCCAGGGAGCAUGUGCACACCUUGUCAUCUUUAUAUCUCCACCUGUGCACUUUUUGUAGACCUUCUCAGGUCUAUGUUGCUUCAUUUACCCAAUGUAUGUUAAUAGAAUGUCGUGCUUGUGAAAUCUAUA
rnacentral:misc_RNA from 1 species